CUGGAAUGGUUCCUGACUAAAAUCUAUAUGGCCUCUGGAUUGGACUGCGGCCGAUCAGGCUGUUGGUGAGGUAAUGGCCCACCAAACCUGUAACCGGUACGGGCUCUGAGAGGAGGAGCCCGGAGAUGGGCACUGAGACAAGGGCCCAGGCCCUAUGGGGCGCAGCAGGCGCGAAACCUCUGCAAUAGGCGAAAGCCUGACAGGGUUACUCUGAGUGACUUUCGCUAAGAAAGUCUUUUGGCACCUCUAAAAAGGGUGCAGAAUAAGGGGUGGGCAAGUCUGGUGUCAGCCGCCGCGGUAAUACCAGCACCCCGAGUGGUCGGGACGAUUAUUGGGCCUAAAGCAUCCGUAGCCGGUUCUGCAAGUCCCCCGUUAAAUCCAGCUGCUCAACAGAUGGGCCGCGGAGGAUACUACAGAGCUAGGAGGCAGGAGAGGCAAGCGGUACUCAGUGGGUAGGGGUAAAAUCCGUUGAUCCAUUGAAGACCACCAGUGGCGAAGGCGGCUUGCCAGAAUGCGCUCGACGGUGAGGGAUGAAAGCUGGGGGGGCAAACCGGAUUAGAUACCCGGGUAGUCCCAGCUGUAAACGAUGCAGACUCGGUGAUGGGCUAGCCUUGUGCCAGCCCAGUGCCGCAGGGAAGCCGUUAAGUCUGCCGCCUGGGGAGUACGGUCGCAAGACUGAAACUUAAAGGAAUUGGCGGGGGAGCACCACAAGGGGUGAAGCCUGCGGUUCAAUUGGAGUCAACGCCGGA
rnacentral:rRNA from 1 species